rnacentral:rRNA from 1 species
GAUGACUGGGGUGAAGUCGUAACAAGGUAGCCGUACCGGAAGGUGUGGCUGGAUCACCUCCNUU